rnacentral:rRNA from 1 species
UACGGAGGGAGCGAGCGUUGUUCGGAAUCACUGGGCGUAAAGCGUGCGUAGGCGGUUGCGCAAGUCAGAAGUGAAAUCCCUGGGCUUAACCCAGGAACUGCUUUUGAUACUGCGCUUCUCGAGUAUGGGAGAGGUUGGCGGAAUUCCGAGUGUAGAGGUGAAAUUCGUAGAUAUUCGGAAGAACACCAGUGGCGUAGGCGGCCAACUGGACCAUUACUGACGCUGAGGCACGAAAGCGUGGGGAGCAAACAGG